UCAGCUGCUGCUGCUACAGCAGAGAGGAGAGCUGUGGAAGUAUCAUGGGCUGGGUUCUCUCAUGAUCUUCACAUCUUUUUCUAAACCAAUGCUCCAUCACCUAAUUUUUCUGUUUUCAUCUCGGAGCUGACGGGAAGGCGUCAAAUUUUAAUCCCGCAGAAGGAGAAGCACAUAUUCACACUGAUGCAACAAGGGAGGACGGAAGAAGAACAACUUCCACAUCUUGCUGGCCACCCUGUAGCUAUUGGGGACCCACACAAAUAAAUUCCCAUGGAGGAGAAAGUGGACAAAGAGGAUGAGGGGCUACCCCUGGAGGAGGAGUUGGUUAUGGAAGACCAUGAGGCUUAUUAUGACGACCAAUCACAAAAAGCUGAAUUGGUUGGCUUCCUAUGGACUGAGACAGUGAUGACAAAUUCGGCAUUGAGCUCUAAAUCUGCAGAGAGAAGUAGACCGGUUGUAUUACAUCUUUACAAUGGUCUUGGAGAGGUUACAUUACAUUCUUGAAUGGUCUUCAUCUUGAACACUAUGGAGAAGCAUAAUUCCCAACACCCUGCCAGAGGAAAAAGGAUUUGCACCCCAACCAUGCCAGCUGUUCUCUAUGCCAGUGUCUUUGAUUUCUUAAAAAUGCCACAGAGCGACUUCAAGGUAAACAUGUAAAUGGAAAUAAAACUGUCUUUCCUUUAAGGAUUGUAAGUAUCCAUAACUUUAAAUGGUUUGUCCAGGAUUUAACUGUUGGCGGCCAUAAAUAUCUGAUUAGCAGGGGUCUGACACCUUGCU